rnacentral:rRNA from 1 species
AAUGAACGCUGGCGGCAUGCCUAACACAUGCAAGUCGAACGAAGGCUUCGGCCUUAGUGGCGCACGGGUGCGUAACGCGUGGGAAUCUGCCCUUGGGUUCGGAAUAACAGCUAGAAAUGGCUGCUAAUACCGGAUGAUGACGUAAGUCCAAAGAUUUAUCGCCCAGGGAUGAGCCCGCGUAGGAUUAGCUAGUUGGUGGG